UUAAGUAAGGAAGGGCGUACGGCGAAUGCCUGGCCACUCGAAACUGAAGAAGGACGCGCCAAACUGCGAAAAGCUCCGUGAAGCUGUAAGGAAGCGAAGAAGCGGAGGUGUCCGAAUGGGGGAACCCGGCAGCAGACAUGAGCUGUCAUCUGCAGGUGAAUACAUGGCCUGCAAGAGAGGUACCCGGCGAACUGAAACAUCUAAGUAGCCGGAGGAAAAGAAAACAACAGUGAUUCCCUGAGUAGCGGCGAGCGAAAGGGGAGAAGCCCAAACCGGUCCAAGGACCGGGGUUGAAGGACCAUGAUAUGGCAAGAGAGAGGAUAGAAGAACGGGAUCGAAAGCCCGGCCGAAGAAGGUGCAAGCCCUGUAAUUGAAAUCCGAUCGAAGCCUAAUGGGAUCCUGAGUACGGCGAGACACGAGGAAUCUUGUCGGAAGCAGGCGGGACCAUCCGCCAAGGCUAAAUAUAAACGAGUGAGCGAUAGUGAACCAGUACCGUGAGGGAAAGGUGAAAAGAACCGCGGGAGCGGAGUGAAAGAGAACCUGAAACCGUAUGCCUACAAGAAGUCAGAGCCCGUUAAGGGGUGAUGGCGUGCCUUUUGUAGAAUGAACCGGCGAGUUGCGACAGACUGCGAGGUUAAGGAGGAAAGACCGGAGCCGAAGCGAAAGCGAGUCUUAAUAGGGCGAAAGUAGGAUGUUGCAGACCCGAAACCGGGUGAUCUAGCCAUGAGCAGGUUGAAGUUGAGGUGAAACUCAAUGGAGGACCGAACCGACUACCGUUGAAAAGUUAGCGGAUGACUUGUGGCUAGGGGAGAAAUUCCAAUCGAACCCGGAGAUAGCUGGUUCUCCCCGAAAUAGCUUUAGGGCUAGCGUCGGAAAGAACCUUAGUGAAGGUAGAGCACUGAAUGUGUGAUGGCCCCAUCCCGGGGUACUGAAUACAAUCAAACUGCGAAUGUCAUUAAGGAUGUCCGGCAGUCAGACUGUGAGUGAUAAGGUCCAUGGUCAAGAGGGAAACAGCCCAGACCGCCAGUUAAGGUCCCAAAAUACAGGCUAAGUGGAAAAGGAUGUGGGGAUGCCCAGACAACUAGGAGGUUGGCUCAGAAGCAGCCAUCCUUUAAAGAGUGCGUAACAGCUCACUAGUCGAGUGACCCUGCGCCGAAAAUGUACCGGGGCUAAGCCUGAUACCGAAACUGCGGAUUGUAGGAAACUAUAGUGGUAGGGGAGCGUUGUAUACGAGUGGAAGCCGUACCGUGAGGAGCGGUGGAUUGUAUAGAAGUGAGAAUGCCGGUGUGAGUAGCGAGAUGUAGGUGAGAAUCCUACACACCGAAAGCCCAAGGAUUCCAGGGGAAGGUUCGUCCGCCCUGGGUAAGUCGGGACCUAACGCGAGGCCGAAAGGCGUAGUGGAUGGAAAGCAGGCGAAAGAUUCCUGCACCCGUAUAUGGAGCGAAGGAGUGACGGAGACGGAUAGUGUGACCCUCUUAAUGGAUUGAGGGCGAAGCGAAGCGGCUGGUUACCAGGCAAAUCCGGUAACCAUAAGGCUAGAGCGUGAUAGGUAAGCGAAAUCUUAGGAGAGUAGCGAAGCACAUGAUGACGGCUUCCAGGAAAAGCUUCUGGCAAUGCAUAUGCGGCCCGUACCAAAACCGACACAGGUGGGCAGGGAGAGAAUCCCGAGGUGAGCGAGAGAACUGUUGCCAAGGAACUCGGCAAAAUGACUCCGUAAGUUAGCGAGAAGGAGUGCUUAAGCAAUUAAGCCGCAGUGAAGAGGCCCAAGCGACUGUUUAACUAAAACACAGCUCUCUGCGAAGUCGCAAGACGAAGUAUAGGGGGUGACACCUGCCCGGUGCUGGAAGGUUAAGAGGAUCUGUUAAGAGCGAUCUGAAGCAGUGAUCCGAAGCCCCAGUGAACGGCGGCCGUAACUAUAACGGUCCUAAGGUAGCGAAAUUCCUUGUCAGGUAAGUUCUGACCCGCACGAAAGGUGUAACGAUUUGGGCGCUGUCUCGGCAGCAGACUCGGUGAAAUCUUAGUACCUGUGAAAAUGCAGGUUACCCGCAACUAGACGGAAAGACCCCAUGGAGCUUUACUGCAGCCUGAUAUUGAAUUCUGGUCAUACAUGUACAGGAUAGGUGGGAGACAAAGAGACGUGCACGCCAGUGUACGAGGAGUCGACGUUGGGAUACCACUCUUGUGUGACCGGGGUUCUAACCUGGUAUCGAGAACAGGUACGGGGAGAGUGUCAGGUGGGCAGUUUGACUGGGGCGGUCGCCUCCCAAAGAGUAACGGAGGCGCCCAAAGGUUCCCUCAGCGCGGCCGGAAAUCGCGCGAAGAGUGUAAAGGCAGAAGGGAGCUUGACUGAGAGCCAAACACGGCGAUCAGGUACGAAAGUAGGGCUUAGUGAUCCGGUGGCAUCCAAGUGGAAGGGCCAUCGCUCAACGGAUAAAAGCUACCCUGGGGAUAACAGGCUAAUCUCUCCCAAGAGUCCAUAUCGACGGGGAGGUUUGGCACCUCGAUGUCGGCUCAUCACAUCCUGGGGCUGAAGUCGGUCCCAAGGGUUGGGCUGUUCGCCCAUUAAAGUGGUACGUGAGCUGGGUUCAGAACGUCGUGAGACAGUUCGGUCCCUAUCCAUCGCGGGCGCAAGAGAUUUGAAGGGGGCUGCUCCUAGUACGAGAGGACCGGAGUGGACGAACCAAUGGUGUACCAAUUAUCUCGCCAGAGGUAUAGUUGGGUAGCUACGUUCGGAAAGGAUAAACGCUGAAAGCAUCUAAGCGUGAAACCAGCCUUAAGAUGAGAUCUCUCAUAGAGUAAUCUAGUAAGACACCUUGGAGAAGACGAGGUUGAUAGGUCGGGAGUGUAAGUACAGUAAUGUAUUCAGCGGACCGAUACUAAUAUGUCGAGGGCUUGACUUA
rnacentral:rRNA from 1 species